UUUAACAAAUAUAGAUUAAUA
rnacentral:piRNA from 1 species